GAUGAAGAACGUAGCGAAAUGCGAUACGUAAUGUGAAUUGCAAAUUCAGUGAAUCAUCGAGUCUUUGAACGCACAUUGCGCCCCCUGGUAUUCCGGGGGGCAUGCCUGUCCGAGCGUCAUUGCUGCCCUCAAGCACGGCUUGUGUGUUGGGCCCCGUCCUCCGAUUCCGGGGGACGGGCCCGAAAGGCAGCGGCGGCACCGCGUCCGGUCCUCGAGCGUAUGGGGCUUUGUCACCCGCUCUGUAGGCCCGGCCGGCGCUUGCCGAUCAACCCAAAUUUUUAUCCAGGUUGACCUCGGAUCAGGUAGGGAUACCCGCUGAACUUAAGCAUAUCAAAAGCGAGGA
rnacentral:misc_RNA from 1 species